ACAAAUUCAAACAAUCUAAAUCUCAUUAAUUACCGUUUCAUUUUAUUUCAUACUAUCAAUCCAAACUUGAAAAAUUUGUAUCAAUUAUAACUCAUAAAGUUUGGCUUUUCAUAAAAACCAAAAAUGAUUUCUAAUAUGAAAUUUUGGCUUAGCUUAAGUUAAGAGACUCAUUAAUCAUUAUCCAAUAGAUUGGUUGUUUAAUGCCUAGAUUCAAGAUUUGUGAGUUGAGACACCAGUAUUAUAAACCAAAAAUGAUUUCUAAUAUGAAAUUUUGGCUUAGCUUAAGUUAAGAGACUCAUUAAUCAUUAUCCAAUAGAUUGGUUGUUUAAUGCCUAGAUUCAAGAUUUGUGAGUUGAGACACCAGUAUUAUAACCUAUGGGUAUAUUAUGGUACGUUAUCAUCUCUCUGCCUUCUUCUGUCCCAUGUACACUUUAAUUCUUCCAGCGUUGGACUCUGAUGGAUUGUACAAUAAAUAAUGCACACUUUACAUGUCCCACCAUUCACCCCAUGAUUGUUCUUCUCCAUCUAAGGUG
rnacentral:lncRNA from 1 species